AACGGAGGAGCACGAAGGUGGGCUAAUCACGGUUGGACAUCGUGAGGUUAGUGCAAUGGCAUAAGCCCGCUUGACUGCGAGAAUGACAAUUCGAGCAGGUGCGAAAGCAGGUCAUAGUGAUCCGGUGGUUCUGAAUGGAAGGGCCAUCGCUCAACGGAUAAAAGGUACUCCGGGGAUAACAGGCUGAUACCGCCCAAGAGUUCAUAUCGACGGCGGUGUUUGGCACCUCGAUGUCGGCUCAUCACAUCCUGGGGCUGAAGUCGGUCCCAAGGGUAUGGCUGUUCGCCAUUUAAAGUGGUACGCGAGCUGGGUUUAGAACGUCGUGAGACAGUUCGGUCCCUAUCUGCCGUGGGCGUUGGAAGAUUGAAGGGGGCUGCUCCUAGUACGAGAGGACCGGAGUGGACGAACCUCUGGUGUUCGGGUUGUGUCGCCAGACGCAUUGCCCGGUAGCUAAGUUCGGAAUCGAUAACCGCUGAAAGCAUCUAAGCGGGAAGCGAGCCCUGAGAUGAGUCUUCCCUGAUACUUUAAGUAUCC
rnacentral:rRNA from 1 species